rnacentral:rRNA from 1 species
CAGCAGCCGCGGGAAUACGUAGGUGGCAAGCGUUGUCCGAAAUUAUUGGGCGUAGAGGGCUCGCAGGCGGUUUCUUAAGUCUGAUGUGAAAGCCCCCGGCUCAACCGGGGAGGGUCAUUGGAAACUGGGAAACUUGAGUGCAGAAGAGGAGAGUGGAAUUCCACGUGUAGCGGUGAAAUGCGUAGAGAUGUGGAGGAACACCAGUGGCGAAGGCGACUCUCUGGUCUGUAACUGACGCUGAGGAGCGAAAGCGUGGGGAGCGAACAGGAUUAGAUACCCCCGUAGUCCCUGUCUCUUAUAC